GGGGACGUCACCGGACAAAGAGACAAUGCGAGGACAGGACACGACAAGGAAGCUUCAGAACCAGUGCUAAUCAUUUAUGAUGUAGAAAAAGGGUGAAUUGAAGCGAAUCCUAGCUGGCUUUGGGUGAGAGGCAAAUUACACCCCGGACUGGUCGCCAUCUAAACACAUGUCAGAUAAGGACAAACAACCAUUCACACUUCCGUUCACACCUAUGGACAAUUAUGCAUCUUCAAUAAACCUCAAAUGCAUGUUUUUGGAGUUUGGAAGGAAACCGGAGAAAACCCUCCAAAGCACAAGGGAGAGCAUGCAAACUCCACAGAGGAAGGCCCAGCACAAGCUUUGAACCCAAAACCUCAGAGUUCCUGUAUCGUGUUGCAAGGGCAAAGCAGCGCAUCCAAUCCGCCUCUUUUGACACCCUUGUCUAAAGCCGAGCACAAAGACCUGCAUCACGCACCCUCUAACCACUCUCCCUCUAUUUGAGCACAUGUGGUCCCACUCAGACAUGUUGGAUUGUUUGCAGCUGCAUGGACAACUGUGGCAGCAAAUGUGCAAUACAAACACAGAAGUGCUACAUAACGAGCAGGAUUAAACUACCUCACUGAUUAACAGAUCUCCAUGAAACUUGUGAAAGUGAGCCAAGAGCCAAGGAAGAAUCCACUGUAUUUUGGUUUGGAUCAAGUUAAAGGUGUUGCAUAAAUGCAGGGAAUCACGCUGAAUGUUAAUGACGGAGGAGGCGGUGUAAACUUAUCCAUCCAAAUUGUGUUUGUUUUGCCUUGGCUGAGGUCAUUGUAAUUUUGUUAAGUCAAGUUAUUAUUCGUAUUCACGCAGUGCUGGAAAAAAAAACGACCGUUUUCACAACAGAUGCUGGAACUAAGAUUGUUAAGUAAUUACUUACUAUUGAAGCCAAUCUGUUUUUCAGAAAUGAUCAAAAAUACUCUGAAUUGAUAAUAAAUGAACUUUUGCUAUUAGGAC